rnacentral:ncRNA from 1 species
AGGAGCCGUAUGAAACGGAGGUCUCACGUACAGUUCUGGAAUAGGGGUGGGAAAAGUGAUGUUAUCUUCGACUAUAAU